rnacentral:tRNA from 1 species
GAAAAGAUAGCAUAACGCAUGCAUUAGCCUUGAAAGCUUUACAAUAAGGGAUCGCGCCCCCUUUCUCUUCG